CUCAAGGCGCACUCACUUCCGGCAUCACCGGUGGCCAUCUUGUCACAGGCAGGCUUCCUGUCGGGCUCUGUGGUACCUAAUAUAAGGUUCAGCCAGGACCACUUGGAGCUUCUCUUCAACUCCAUCAGAGUAUCUGCCAGUUCAAGUACAUCUUUAGGAUGUAAAGCUGAUGGCCCAGUGUGGGGUUGUUAAACCAUGCAGAGGCAAUGUGACUGCCCAGGAUGACACAGAGUCCCUACCAGCUGUCAUCGACACCUCUACAAGCCUGUCAGCUGUAGAUGUGUCCUCUGCAGCAGUAGGAGAACAUCCCCGUUUGCUGACAUUCCUGCCCUAGUACAUGAUCACAGCUACCUUCCCGUCCACUUCGAUGGUCUUGUGGACAACGCUCUCAUGUACAUUUCAGGCUCUGAAGAAGCUGUCGUGUGAUGUCUGCCGUGCCAGCCUGGUGACAUGCUGCAUCUGCCAUCAAGGACCAGAGCUACCACAUGCUGAAUUUAAAAAACAAUGGAGGUCUGGUGAUUUCAUCAGAGGGAACCAUGAGUGUCAUCAGGGCAGCAGAGUGGGUCAUUCGGCAGUCAUCAGGCAGUACCAGACGAUCACAGCCCAUCAAACUGCUUGAGGUUGUUUACAUUGUCUGAAAAAGGAUCGGUUCAGAGGAUUUUUGUGUUGGGAUAGACAGUAUGGGAUAGACAUCCACAACCAUAGGCUGUUAAAAAUAAUUCUGUCCCUGUUUUUUAAGUUAAGGCUGCACCACAUCGCCAGAAUUACAGUCCUCAGCUUACAGAGCAACAACAUGCGACAGAAACUAAAUAAAACUGUCCUUUUCAAAGGGCAUUAGCCCAAGGUAUGUGUUUUCAAGGUACUGUCCUCUUUUACUUCAACAGUAGUGUAGUGCUCUCUACAGCAUUUAUUUAUUUGUGUAUAUAUAAAUGAUUUAUUUAUAUUUGUAAAGGGGAAUCAUGUACCUAUUUUUUGUGUGCAAAUAAAUGUCACUCUUAUAAUAGUUUAAAAAUAGAGACUUGUGUAAUUAUUCCAUAUUUUUUGUAGUCAUUCUAUAUCAGAACCCCUGACAUACAAUCCAAAUAGUCUACAAGUAACAUCAGUGUUACCUUUCAUUUGAUUUCAUUAUGCUUCUACACGAAGAGGUUGCCCCACAGUAAGCAUUUUAUGGUCAGCAUUUUGUCUGACAAAGUCCUAUGGGGAGUUUCCAUAGGGCAUUUUACAAUACGCAUGACCAUACCUUGGCAAAUAAUGGUCUAAAGUACUCAAUUUCAUUCUAUAUUGAUCUGCUUUUGCACACAGCUUCACAAGACCUGGUGCUAGGGCUCCGUUGUUUCUAAAGUCAUGUCAAGUGACCUAGAGGGCUGAAAUAUGGUCAGUUCAGAGAUGCUUGUUAUCCGGCA
ensembl:lncRNA